GGGGGGGGGGGGGGGGGGGCCGGGGGGGGGGGGGUCGGGCGGGACCUUCGGGUCGAGUGGGGCACGGGUGCGGAACGCGUGGGAACCUGCCCUUAGGUUCGGGAUAACUCCCCGAAAGGGGUGCUACUACCGGAGAAUGUCUUCGGACCAAAGAUUUAUCGCCUUUGGAUGGGCCCGCGUUGGAUUAGCUAGUUGGUAGGGUAAAAGCCUACCAAGGCGACGAUCCAUAGCUGGUCUGAGAGGAAGAUCAGCCACGCUGGGACUGAGACACGGCCCAGACUCCUACGGGAGGCAGCAGUGGGGAAUAUUGGACAAUGGGCGAAAGCCUGAUCCAGCAAUGCCGCGUGAGUGAUGAAGGCCUUAGGGUUGUAAAGCUCUUUUACCCGGGAUGAUAAUGACAGUACCGGGAGAAUAAGCUCCGGCUAACUCCGUG
rnacentral:rRNA from 1 species